rnacentral:rRNA from 1 species
CCCUUAGAUGUUCUGGGCAGCACGCGCGCUACAAUGGUCUUCGCAAACGGAUGCAUUCUCGAAGGAGAAUGCCAAUCUUGGAAUCUAUGCCUUGGUCGGGACAGUUGCUUGCAAUUUUUCGACUCGAACCAGGAAUUCUUUGUAAUCGUGAUUCAUCACAUCACGAUGAAUACGUCCCUGCCCUUUGUACACACCGCCCGUCGCUCCUACCGAUCGAAGAGUUAGGUGAAUUGUUUUGAUCGAUAAGAUUUGACUAUGGUCAACUCUCGUUGUGAAAUUCUGUGAAUCUGACUGUUUAGAGGAAGGAAAAGUCGUAACA